ACAUACGACCAUACCCACUGGAGAACUCGGGAUCCCGUCCGCUCUCCCAUAGAUAAGCCAGUGAGGGCCGGAUUAGUAGUUGAGUCGGUGACGAUCAGCGAAUACCUGGUGUUGUAUGUU
rfam:Colletotrichum incanum strain MAFF 238704 contig1276, whole genome shotgun sequence.